CCGAAUGUUGAUGCAGUGUUUUUACAAAAAUAUUUAUAAAUUAAAUAUUAUUAUUAUUAUUAAUAAAUUUUUUAUGUGUAGUAAAAGAUAUGUAGUACAAAAAUAUAUAUUUAUGUGUAUGGAUAUAUACGUAUGCGCGCGCGUUUUGGGUAAAAAUAGACCACAGCGCACGUUAGCAUAUACUAUAUACUGUAUACACUAUAUAUAUUUAAUAUUAUGCAUAUAUAAUAGAUAUACAUAAAAUAAAAAACAGCAUCCCAUGUGUAGUAAAAGAUAUGUAGUACAAAAAUAUAUAUUUGUUGUGUAUGGAUAUAUACGUAUGCGCGCGCGUUUUGGGUAAAAAUAGACCACAGCGCACGUUAGCAUAUACUAUAUACUGUGUACUCUCUAUAUAUUUAAUAUUAUGCAUAUAUAAUAGAUAUACAUGGGAAAAAUAAUAAUAAUAUUAUAAAUAGAAAAAAGUAUUACACUCGUUGGGCGAAAGGGAAUCCGGUU
rnacentral:rRNA from 1 species